rnacentral:rRNA from 1 species
CCAGACUCCUACGGGAGGCAGCAGUGAGGAAUAUUGCACAAUGGGGGGAACCCUGAUGCAGCGACGCCGCGUGGGCGAGGAAGUAUUUCGGUAUGUAAAGCCCUAUCGGCAGGGAAGAAGAAAUGACGGUACCUGAAGAAGAAGCCCCGGCUAACUACGUGCCAGCAGCCGCGGUAAUACGUAGGGGGCAAGCGUUAUCCGGAUUUACUGGGUGUAAAGGGGGCGCAGACGGCGAUGCAAGCCAGGAGUGAAAGCCCGGGGCCCAACCCCGGGACUGCUCUUGGAACUGCGUGGCUGGAGUGCAGGAGGGGCAGGCGGAAUUCCUGGUGUAGCGGUGAAAUGCGUAGAUAUCAGGAGGAACACCGGUGGCGAAGGCGGCCUGCUGGACUGCAACUGACGUUGAGGCCCGAAAGCGUGGGGAGCAAACAGGAUUAGAUACCCUGGUACGA